UACAAAUAGGAUGAUCACACUCAGUAGAUUAUAAGCUUUGUAAUGAUACCUUACAAGAGACCUUUUGCAUGAAGCAUAUCCCAGUUACGUUAUAUUCAAUUAUCAUAUUUUUAUAAAACCAUAGACAGCUCAACGUCACAAACAGUACUUGGACUAUGCCUGUAUCAGACAUUGUUUUGCUAUAUGCCUGCAAUUAGCUACGACUAUCUUGCUUUUGUGUUCAAUCUAGUUUAGUAAUACAUGGGUGUAGACCAGUGCUUCUCAAGCUAUCUAAUGUGGGGGACUGGCAAUUUUUUUCCCCCCAAUGUGCCAGGGACCAGUGCCACAUUAUUAUCCUAUUCGACGCUCUUAUGACGAAACUCGCCGUGGACGGGCAGCCGAUGGCUCGCGGAACGGCACCGGUCCACGGACCGCCACUUUGAGAUGCUCUGGUGUAGACAGGUAGGGGACUUGGGGAUUCCAUUAAUAAACAAACACUGAGCGCAGAAAAGAAGCUAGUUAUCUCACUGGAAAUCUAUCCACUUUUAUAGUUAUGGUACAAAACUACUGAUUAAAGUGAUAUUCAAUACCUUUUUUUAAACACUCCAGCGCACCCCCUGCCCAAAUAAAAAGUUAAUCUAUACCCCUGUAAUAUCAAACAAGGACAAUGAAGUUUGCUGUUCAGCAGCUCUACUUCCCUCUUCCCCCACCUCAAUCAACAGAUUCCAUUCCUGUCUUCCAAACAGUGUGUCCCAUCAAUCACUGAUGACUGUCAAUUGGGGUGGCAGAGAAUGGGAAGCCUGCUACAUGCAGUAUGUAUAAAGAAGAAAGCCGCCUGUGUGGAAUGCAAACAUGUCUCACUGGGGCUCAUCAGAUCCUGACAUGCUGGAUUUCACAUUAUAGGCACUCAGAGGGAUGCAUCAACCCAGUCCAAUAAAACUCACCUUUUUUGCUGCAGCCCAUAUGCUCUCAAAGAAUACUCUAAUUUCUUCAGAUUCUCUCUUAGAUGGCUGCUUGAGGCCACUUAGAACUCUAUGCACAAAAUUGACUUCCCUAGUUUGUACGGUGGCUAGCUGGGUUCACACUGAGCAAAACUGAAGUCAAUAAGAAAAACUCCAAAUGAUUUCAAUGAGACCAUGACUUGGUGGAGUUGCUUUGUCUUGAAAGGUUAUCCCUGUAUUGGGAUACUGUACUACUAAAAGGAGCGCCUCUAUUCUUUUGUUGGAUGUGGUGUCUCUCUCCCAGGUGUCCCAAAAAUUAACAUUACCAUAAUGAAAUUCCUAAGCAAAGAAAAAUCACUUCCAGAUAAGCUCUUAUAGACAUAUUUGUGUGUUGCUUAUACUCAGGCUAUGCCAUCCAACUAGCCUGACCCUUAGGCCUGCUGUACACCUAAAACUUAGGUCAACCUAGUUACAUUACAUCACCCGGGGCUGUGAAAAAAUUCAAGACCCAGGCAACAUAUUUAGGUUGACUUAAUCCCCUCUCUAGAUGUAGCUAGAUUAACAGAAGAAUUUUUCUGUUGACCUAACUACCGUCUCUCUAAGGUGUGGAUUUACUAUAGCAACAGAAAAGCCCCUUCUGUCACUGCAGUGUCUACCCUGCAACAGUGCUACUGUAGCACUUGUGUAGACAUUCCCUUUUAAACAAAAUACCUGAGGGCCACAAAAGAGGCUAAUCCAGGGAUUUGGGUACUAGCUUGAGAUUCAGGCAACUCGGCUUCAAUUCCCUGCUCUAUCUGCAGGCUUCCUGUGUGAUCCAAGGUAAGUCACUUUGUCUCUCUGUGCCUGAGUUCCACAUACGUAAAAUGGGGAUAAUAGUACUUUUCCCUACCUCACAUGGGUGAAGAUUAAGAACUGCUCAGACACAAUGGUGGCCGUAUAAAAUACCUUGAUAGAUAGCUUCAAAGCUCUCUUAACCUGGUCCUAGACUAUUUUGAAUGUAUAAUUCUUUGCAGACUUGUGACGCAAAGAACUCCUCAGUGACAACUGGCAAGAGCAUUACAAGGAUAUCCUGAUUCUAGUAUGUACAUUUUGUUUCACCAACGAAUGUGAUGUGAUGUUUUAUUUGAAAGCCAAGGCCACUGGUCAUUCUUAUUGUUCUGAAAUGUAUGUACAGAUUACAAAAGUAGUUAUGUAUGUAUACUGUAAAUAUGAUUCUGUAUCACAGCAGAAGAAACAAGUUUCCUGUCAGACAGGGGAUACUUAUUCACCUGUAUCUCUGUUGGAUAUGAGGAGGAGACAAGGAAGACACGCCCUUAUCCAGCACUUACAAAGUAGAUGGGCAGCAUGUUGACAUUCAUGAAAAUAAGAUCUGAACCAGCCUUGGUUGCAAAUAUUGCAGAAGAUAUUUGGGUCCGGUGGGGUUUCCAGGAAUACCCCACAGAAGUACUUUUUCUUAAGCUUACCUGUUGCAAGGAUGAAGGCCUAAAUUCUUCUGAGUUACACCAGUACAGACCCAGAGCAACUUCUGUGAUAUCAGUGGUGCUACAACUUCAGAUUUUCAAUGGAAUAACAGAACAGAAUUUGGAUCAUAAACUAUUCCUGCUAAAGCAAUCUUCUAGUGGGUGACAUCUGGACCUGACAGACAGCCUAAGUUAUCUAAUGCAGAAUUUUCUUUUUUCCAGCAUUUUACUCUAAAGCUUAAGAACUAUAUAUUCAGGUGUCAUUCCACAAAUGUACUUUUUUCCUUUCAAACUCACACAAUUACUAUUCCAUCUUGCAAACACACAUAUGCUUAACUUUAAGCAUGUGAGUAGUUCUGCUGUCUUAAAGUUAAGCACGCGUGUAAACAUUUGCAGGAUCAGGGCCUUAGACAUUUCUCAAAAGAUUAUGGUUCAAUUAACUUCAAUGGGAGUAUGUUCAUAUGAGUAAGGGUUGGUUGCAGGAUGAGGCCUCAGGUUACAAUAUUUUUAAAAGUUGGACAUGAACAUCUGAUAGCAGAAAGUGGCUCAGAAUCAAUAAAAUAUUUUAAUUUGUUUUACAAUUAUUCGUUUAAGGAUAUUAUGGUCUUGGUAUCAUGCUUUAUAUAACACCCCAACACAUUUUUUGAUUUUGAUGUCAUGCAAGAAAGUAUUGAUAAAAUGAAACAUUAAAUGACAAAUAGUUUGUUCCCACAACCAACUUUUUGGACAGCAUCUGGGCAACUUGGCCUAUAUGGGGGGGAGGGGACCCCAAGAGAUUUGGGAAGCAAACCAAGCAUUACAUUUUUCUAAGAUUCCUUAAGUAUAUUAACCACAGUGCAACUUUAUUCAAAACUUACAAGGGCCUGCAGCUAUACCACUUUGGGAUUUACUCUUAUCAGACUGAAUGAGCCAGCUCCCCAGCACAGUGUUUAAGGAGGCCCUGUGCUGCUUGCAGUGCUGGUUUUUUGGGACGGGAUAUAAAACAGAAGCCCUCACCACUUUUUGCAAGCAAAGGGAUGUUUGCCCAAGUGUUCUAAGUUCCCAUACACACUACAAAAACAACCAUGUUUGUGACCCAAACAUUUAACAACCAGAUUAAGAAAGCCACAUGUUUUUAGCCCUUUCUUGGAGUCUCAUGGAGGCUUACCACCACCUCAGAAAUGUAGCCCCUUACAGAUAUAUUGGCAACAGUAUGUUUUUUUGACACAGAAAAUUCAAUUAGUAGUUUAAAAUAAUUUGCUAGGUGACAAUAGUAAUGAUGGUGCACUGCGUACUCAUUAAAAGUAUCAUUAAUUAAGUAAAACCAGAUUGAAUCAUUACCAUACCAAAAAACCCAAACUCCGGCUAGGAGCAAAAUUUAAAACAUAAUAUAGUAAGGACUUUAUUAUACAAUUGCCAAUGUUCCUACUAAUGUUCAAAUAUAAUACUCUUCUCAAAAGAGCUUGUAUUAUUUUGUUUAACUGAUGUUAAGGAAAUGUAUGUUCACUUGACAACCUGAAUGAAAAAUCAAAACAAAAAUACAGAUAAUAUAUAUUUUUAAAUUGAUGACAUAUGCUUCAGAAAAUACAGCUGGGUAUAAAUACAUUAAUAGUACAAAAUAAACCCCAUAUUUUAAAGAUGAGUGCACCAUUCUGUAAAUGACUCUAGAUUAGCAAAGAUUAACUUUAAGUCCCACCUGCCCUCUAGACUCCUUUCCAUUAUUCUCUGUUUGCCUGCUGCCACUUUAGACCCCACAAACACAAAGACAACCGUUCACAGCUCAGUGCUUUUGGGUCUGUGCCAAAUAGUGUGUCAACCAAAAAUACUAGCCGUUUCACUCUGUUUUGAAGCAUAUAGCUUGCAAUUACUUUUCUAGCUGGCAGGAGUUGCAAGUCCAGCACUAAUUUUACACUGUAAAUAACUCCCUUACUGGAUUACUUCAACUUUCUAAUACAACUCUUUUUUUGUUCUGCAAACUAACAGUAAAUAAUUCAUAAUAUCAGAAGUUAUGUUAUUAAGCUAGCUUUUAACUGUUUCAUUAGAAACUGUGAUAAUCAGGGUCUAGACACCCCAAGGGAGGACAGAAGGUUUAAUCCCCCCAGAAAUAAGCAGUUAAAGCAACUGAUCGCAUACUGUGUUAUUUAACUCUAAGAAUAUAUUAAGUAAAAUCUUUUAUGAAUGUCUGUAAAUGCAAUGAACUUACUAGUCAUUAUGAGAUAUGUAUACAGGUUAUGGUUGUGAAGGUGUGUGCGCAUAUAUAGAAAAUUGUAACUGUAAAGCCUGAGGUUAUGUUUAUUUUCUUUGUAAUUUAUAUAUGUUUGCUCUCCCCCUACUAUUUCAUCUUUGAAUCUGUGGUUUUUCUAUUAAAUAAACUUUUUAUUUUUAUCCCAA